UUUUUUUUUUCCUUCCCUACAAAAGGAUUUUACUUUACCUGUGGCAUUCAUUACCCUUUUAUGUCUUUUUUUUUUCUCUUGUUUUACCCAUCUGUGGAGAUAAUAGAUACUACGUGAAAGCAAAAUAGAAAAAAAAAAAAUUUCCUUACAGAGCAAUAGAGUUGGCUUUUCUAUGAGUUUUUAGAAUGUGCUAAACAUUCUAUUCUCACAUUACUACCUAAGCAAAGAACUAGAUUGGUCCACUUUUAGAGAUGAGAAAACUAAGGCUAAAAGUGAUGACGAAAAUCUUGUUGCUCAUCUCCUGAGGCAUGGAACUGGUUUCAAAGUCUUUGUGACUCCAGGGUUUGAGUUGACCACUGUGCCCACCCCUCCCACAGCUUCAGGGUUAUGGAUCAGAUGCUCCUAAGAACGUGUCACGGGCUGGAAUACCUUCUUUUUCUGUGUGCACUUUCCAUGGUUCUUUCCGUAUUGUGUGCGAUUGACAUUUCAGAUGAAUGAAUGAUUACACCUACUUUUCACGCUUAGCAGCAGCUCUUUAGAAAAGCUUGGUUAUGACUCUCAAUGCCUUUAGAAAACUGCCUUUUCAGAUUUUUAUCAGGCAUGUCUUAAUAUCUCUUAGAUUGGAAAUCUCUUGCGUAGACAACUUGUUUAAACACAAGUUUUACAAAUAAACAUGUAAGCUUCAAACAAUAACAGCAAAUGACUGAGAGCAAUACUUGAUACGUUGCAUCUCUUUACUUAGGAAAUGAUAAUAGAUUUUUACUUCACAUGUUUAAAUUUGAAUUAUAAUUUAAAUGAUCUUAAAAAUAUUAAAAACCCCUUCAUCACAAACUAGGUGUUUAUGCAUAGUCAUCAGGGGUUAAUCGAGCAGAGACAGCACACACUUGAGACUCUAAAUUGAAUAAUUCGAUUUGUAAACAGGUACUUAGUGUACAAGAAGCCAUUACACAUGCAAUUAUCUGUCUUCAAUUAAUUGUGUGCAUCUCUAAGGAGCAACUUAAGAAUGUUUGUUUCAUUUCCACUGGUUGUAAGGCCUGAUAUCUACAAACAUUUAUUUUACUUAUGCUAUAGUUUUGAACAUUGGUAAAGUACAUUUCUAACAGCAAAUAUUAUGUGCCUGUGAGGAAACAGUGGGCCUGGAAUAACCAAACCCGAGUUGGUCUUCUUCCUGCAACUAGUCCCCACCCUCCCCACAUAAGAAUGCCAGAAAAAAAAAAAUCAAAUUCAGGAUUCUCACUAGAAUAGCAAACCAUGCAUCAAGAAAUCUGUAUUAGUAAAUAUGGAAUUGCCCUUAGUUUUGAAAUCUCUUUAUACUGAAUGCAUAUUCCUUUCACCUGUAGGAAGAGCAGAAGCCUAGUCAUGGUUGCUUGAUCCUAUGCUAUUGCACUUAAAAUAAACUGGAUAUCAAUUGUGUCAAAGCCAGAACAAAAGGAAGACAUAUAGGCCUUUGAAGAAAGUUUCAAAACAUCAUUUUAGGGCUGCCUUUAGAGAAAGGUCUCUUCUUCCUCAUCUCUUUCAUCAUGAGAAGAUUGUCCUUGUUUAACCAUUAAGAAACCCAUUGCUUUCUAUGUUGCUGUUUGCUCAGACAUUUAGUUCUACUAACAUGUGAGUAAUUAAUCCUCCUCUUCCUCCCUCUUCUCAUCUUUGCCCACUUCUACCUCCUCCUCAUCCUUUCCUUCCUCUCCCUCACAACCACACUGGAAAUACAACUUCAGAUCAGGUAGAAGGGAAAACUCUAUGUACUAUACAGCUCUCCUAAACAAGGCCAAGGUCUUAAUUAUCUUUCUACCCUAGCUUUUAAUGAGUGAUUGGCAUAUUCAUAAUAAUAAUAAAUCCUUGCCGAAUGAAUGAUUAUUUUCCCCUAAACAUCAAAAUGGUGAUGUUAUUCUGGGAAUCCUUUCUGAAAUGGCCAGUCUGAGUUUGCUGCCCUUCAAUGUGCUCUUUUAUUUUCUGAUAUUUUCAUCCUAGUGUAUAUAAGAGGUAUGAUAAAGACAUGCAUGAAGGGCUAUGGAACCCUCAAAUCAGUAUCAGAUUGAAUUUUUAUACCUGUAAUUAUUUUUACUAGUAGGUUAAAAAGACCAUUCAUGCAAAUCCAGUCCAUGAGAUCCUGCUGUGUAGCACUGAAUACAAUGUCUAGAUACUUACAAUGCAGCACAACAAUGGGAGGAAAAUUUAUGUAUACAUGUAUGUGUAACUGAGUCCCCAUACUGUACAGUGGGGAAAAAAAGUGCUUUUGGGGAAAUAACAAUUAAAAAAAAAGGCCAUUCAUGCAACAAAUACUUUUUGAAACACCUAUGUUGCCAGCAUUGUUCUAGGUGCUGAAGUAUCAAGAUUGCAUAAAGCAGACAAAUAUUCCAGCUUUCAAGAAGCUUGUAUUUUAGUCAAGCAUACAAAAAAUAAACCAACUAAAUACAUAAAAUGUAAUAUUCUACAAGACGAUAGAUUUGAUAUGUGCUGAGAAGUAGGAAAAACAGUAAGGAAGUGUCACGGAGGCAUUGAAAUAUUAUGUAUGAUAACUAGUAUGUUCUUCCUUAGGAUGAGUUUUGAGUAAAAAUCUGAAGGGAGAACUGGAGAUAGCCAUACAGAUGUUGCAGGAAAUAGCAUUUUAGGUAAAGGGACAACAUGAAGGCCCCUAAGGUGGGAAUUCCCAAGCUUGCCUAAAUUAACAGCAAGAUCAGUGUGGCUAGAUGAGGGUUGAGGUGGGGAGUAGAUAUAUAGAAUCUGAUUUCCAGAGAGGAAAGGACUGGAGCCAGUGUAGACUAUGUUGGCCAUAGAAUUUUCAUCUAAGUCAGAAGGGAAACUAGUAGAGGUUUUUGAGCAGAAUGUCAAUUGGGAAAAUUUUAGCUGUCACGUUGAGAAUUAACUGUAAAAGAGAAAAGGUAAGGAGUAGGGCUGAUAGUUAGGAGGCUAUUGCUUUUCCAGGCAGAAAAUGAUGAUGCCUUGGACCAAAUUGGGAUCAGUAGGAGUAGAAUCACUGUUAGGGACUGAAACGAAUCCCUCUAAAAUUGCUAUGUUGAAGCCCCAUCCCCCAGUAUCUCUGAGUGUGACUGUUUGAAGAUGGGACCUUUAAAGGGGCAGUUAAGUUAAAGUGAGGUAGUCAGGGUGGACGCUAAUCCAACGUGACUGAUGUCGUUAUAAAAAAGAGAUUAAGACACACAAAAAACACCAGAGAUGUGUGCUCACAAAGAAGAGGACCUGUUGGAGGCAGAGUAAAAAAGCAAGGCAGAGAGAGAGAGGAUUCAGAAAAAACCAAUCCUGCCUGCACCUUAAUCUUGGACAUCUAGUGUCCAAAACUGUGAGAAAAUAAACAUCUGCUGUUUAAGCUACUCAGUCUAUGAUAUUUUGUUAUGGCAAUCCGAACAUUGACUAAUAGAGUCACUAAAGGUGGAGAUGAUUGGUCAAAUUAUAGAUAGAUUUUAAAUGUAUGUUACAUGAUUUUACAAUAAAGCCAAUCUGAGGUGUG
rnacentral:lncRNA from 1 species